GGGGGGGGGGGGGGGGGGGGGGGGGGGGGGGGGGGCGGGGGGGGGGGUGGGGGGCGGGGGGCGCGGGCGGUGGCGGCGGACGGGGGGGUAACACGUGGAUAACCUACCUAUAAGACUGGGAGAACUUCGGGAAACCGGAGCUAAUACCGGAUAAUAUAUUGAACCGCAUGGUUCAAUAGUGAAAGACGGUUUUGCGGUCCCUUAUAGAUGGAUCCGCGCCGCAUUAGCUAGUUGGUAAGGUAACGGCUUACCAAGGCAACGAUGCGUAGCCGACCUGAGAGGGUGAUCGGCCACACUGGAACUGAGACCCGGUCCAGACUCCUACGGGAGGCAGCAGUAGGGAAUCUUCCGCAAUGGGCGAAAGCCUGACGGAGCAACGCCGCGUGAGUGAUGAAGGUCUUCGGAUCGUAAACUCUGUUAUUAGGGAAGAACAAAUGUGUAAGUAACUAUGCACGUCUUGACGGUACCUAAUCAGAAAGCCACGGCUAACUACGUG
rnacentral:rRNA from 1 species